rnacentral:misc_RNA from 1 species
UCUCUCGGAACCAGUUCAAUGUCGGAUAUCCGAGCGUGAACAACGCUGCGGGAGCGUCAAACAUUUGUUUCGCUUGAUUCCAAUAAACAUUUCCGAAGGUGUGAAUUAGUGAAUUUGUAAACUCGUGAAUAUCAAAUCUUUCGUAAUCAAAACAUUUAAAUCCGGCAAACAGAAUCAUUCGCGAUGGCCGUCGCGUUGAUUGGACUUAUUUUUUUCUUCUGCUUUUUGUCAUAUCGUAUUUACGUGCUCGGCCGACGGCGGUAUUUCGUUGGCAAAAUACCGGGACCAAGUGGUAUUCCGAUAUUUGGAAAUAUAUUCAAUUUUCUCGUUCCGAUAGCUGACCUCUGGGGGGUGGUGCACGGGAUGAAUGACGAUUACUAUCCAACUUACAAAAUAACGACACCUUUGUGGACCGUCCUAAACCUUCGUCAUCCCGACGAUGCAGAGAUUCUUUUAUCAAGCACGCAACACAUUACGAAAAGCGCGCUGUACGAUUUCCUUCAUCCUUGGUUCAAAACCGGUCUUCUAACGAGUACAGGUGGGAAGUGGCAGAAACGACGCAAGAUACUCACGCCCGCAUUUCAUUUCAAUGUUUUGAGGGAAUUCGUCAACGUUUUUGAUGAGGAGGGUCGUCGAAUGGUUCGAGACCUGAAAAAUGCUGGGGAAAAGGAGCAUGAUUUGUUACCAUUGGUUACGAAAUACACGCUCAAUACGAUUUGUGAAACUGCCAUGGGUACAUCACUAGAAGGAAUGACAAAGUUUCACACGAAAUAUCGAAACGCCGUUCAUGAAAUGGGAAAUUAUCUUCUCCACAGGCUACUGAGACCGUGGCUGCAUCCACCAAGCAUAUUCAAUCUUUCGCCAACCGGUCGAAAACAAAAAAAAGCUUUAGAAAUAAUCCAUGCCUUUUCCAACAAAAUUAUUCGUGAACGUCAAGAGUACCAUAAAGAGUCUGGAAAGGACCCGAUGCAGCAGAAAGAAACGUUUAAUGAUGAUAAAAGUGGAAAAAAACGUUUGGCCAUGCUGGAUCUUCUCAUAGCUGCGAAGAACGCGGGUCACAUGGACGAACCCGGAAUCAGAGAGGAAGUAGACACCUUUAUCUUCGAGGGACACGACACAACCGGGAUGGGAAUAGCUUUCAUUCUCUUGCUUCUGGCUGAACACAAAGACGUUCAGGAAAAAGCUCGAGAUGAAAUUGAUGCUGUACUCGAUGGGAGUGGAGGAAAGAUGGAACCGUACGAAAUUCAACAAUUCCAGUACCUCGAUUGCUGUAUUAAAGAGUCACUUCGAUUAUAUCCGAGCGUGCCCUUAAUAUCGCGGUACAUCAAGGAAGACUUGCAUUUGAACAAAAUUUGUGCAUAACAUCGAUGAAUUUUUCAAGUGAAGUGCCCGACCAAACUAGUGGUCGAUAUUUCGACCAGAUCCGUCCUUUAAAGAGAAUUACUUGAUUCCCGGAGGCGUUGUGGCUCACAUACACAUCUACGAUCUUCAUCGAGAUCCGAAUUUCUGGCCCGAUCCCGAUACUUUUGAUCCAGAUAGAUUUUUACCCGAACACUGUGUCGGGCGACAUCCUU